CUGCGGGGGCGGAACUUCCGGUGUCGGGCUGUCGCUGUGGCCUCUGGCCUUUGAGGGACUGGGUCGGCGGCUGUGGACGGCGUCCGGGGGGCUACCCGCGCCCGCGGAAACGGGAGUGGGCAGGGUACGAGCGUCGAGGAGGGUCCGCCCCUGCGCUCUGCAUGCCCCGUGGCCGCAGCGAAUGUCCCGCCUCCCGGAGCCCUUACGGCGCGGGGCUGUCCGCCGGGGCCUUCGCCAAAGCCCGGCAGUGCCCAUGGCCGCCCGGAUUCGUCUUCCUUGGCGUUGCGACCUCUUCACGGAGUGGGACGGAGGCUCACAGCCCGCGCGUCCAGAGGGCGUGGCCCAGCGCUAAUAAGCGAGCCGAGGGGCCAGGCACGGAUGGGGACUCUUCUGGCCCCCACCCGCUGGACUCCAGCCCCAGUGUCCCAAGUCCCCGACUGAGCCCCGGGCCUUGGCGCUCAGGACAGCGGGGCGUUCACGGGGGCGUUUCCGUUUCAGAAUCCGGUUUGAUGAGAGGCGGAGGGCACAGGCAAGAGGGAUCUGCGUGUGCGAAGACUCGGAGAACCCACAGAGAACUGACACUGAAGAGACACCUGACCAAUGCAUAGCAUGUGGAGAGAUGUUCAAGGAGAGGCAACCCUUUGCUGCCACCAAAAAACUUCAAAAUGG